rnacentral:rRNA from 1 species
AACGAACGCUGGCGGCAGGCCUAACACAUGCAAGUCGAGCGAGGACUUCGGUCCUAGCGGCGGACGGGUGAGUAACGCGUGGGAACGUGCCCUUUGCUUCGGAAUAGCCCUGGGAAACUGGGAGUAAUACCGGAUGAGGCCUUUGGGGGAAAGGUUUAUAGGCGAAGGAUCGGCCCGCGUUGGAUUAGGUAGUUGGUGGGGUAAUGGCCUACCAAGCCGACGAUCCAUAGCUGGUUUGAGAGGAUGAUCAGCCACACUGGGACUGAGACACGGCCCAGACUCCUACGGGAGGCAGCAGUGGGGAAUCUUAGACAAUGGGGGAAACCCUGAUCUAGCCAUGCCGCGUGAGCGAUGAAGGCCUUAGGGUUGUAAAGCUCUUUCAGCUGGGAAGAUAAUGACGGUACCAGCAGAAGAAGCCCCGGCUAACUCCGUG